CGAAGAAGCGAGCCUGCGAAGGCAAGCGGAUCUCUUAAAGCUGUUCUCAGUUCGGACUGUAGGCUGCAACUCGCCUACACGAAGCUGGAAUCGCUAGUAAUCGCGGAUCAGCACGCCGCGGUGAAUACGUUCCCGGGCCUUGUACACACCGCCCGUCACACCAUGAGAGUCUGUAACACCCAAAGCCGGUGGGAUAACCUUUAUAGGAGUCAGCCGUCUAAGGUAGGACAGAUGAUUAGGGUGAAGUCGUAACAAGGUACC
rnacentral:rRNA from 1 species